rnacentral:lncRNA from 1 species
GCCUCUUCUCUUCCAUAUCUGCCUACUUUUCCAUCUGGAACUCAAAAGCUGCCUGCAAUUGUUCUCCGUUACUUAGAUUACAGUGUUGUAUGAACGCUUCUUGGUAAUUAAAUUUCAUUUGAAUUAUAUAUAUUUGUUUUGGGUUCUGGUUUCUGGGUCGUGGGUUGUGUUUGUUUUCAGAAAUUGAAACCGGGGCUCCAUAUUCGAGUCAACAGCAGGCGCCCAUAUUGGUGGCGACCCGACUGCCGCUUGGAGCCGAUAGUAAAAUUAUAGUAGUGGGUGAAGAUCCUUGAAACUCAAACCCAGUUUGUUUCAUGACACAAUAUCCACUAUACAUUUUUUCAUCUCUCUGCUGCUUUAUUUAUUAUUUUAUUUUAUUUUUCUUAAAAUAAUUUGUUAUGAUUGCAUUUUUUUUUUAACUGGUAAGGUAAAAGUGAAGUAGGAAGAAGUGAAUUUUGGCACUCCAGUCAGACACGGGUGUUUGUUACUGAAUUACAAUAACAAUCAACCUUUUGCAUGGUGCCUAUAAAGAGCUACUUAUCACGAUUGGAGGAAAGCCAUUCAUUUUCCACGCUUUCCUUCAAAUUCAAAGCAGCUAAAUCUUCUUAAGUAUUUUCUGGUCUAGCUUUCAGUACAUCAAGCAAAUUGGUUUUUUUUUAAAAAAAAAAUUACAAUCUGUUGGGUUUUGAUUCUUUUGGGUCCCUGAAAACAAUGGGUUAAAGACCAUAAUAAUGUUGAAUCACAAGAAGCAGAGAUUAAAGAAGCCUCCCUGUAAAUGAAAAUAAUGAAAGAGUGUUUUGGGCUCUAAAUAUACGAGUCAACAGCAAGAACCAAUUAAAUUCCAUGGUGCCUUGACUGCCGCUUGGAGCCAAUAUGAUAUUUGCCAAUAGAAAUUGUUUAGCUUGAAAUGCUCUCUGGUUUCAUGCUACAAUCUUUGGCUGCAUACAUUCAUGAUUCAACGUCUCACUUCCCUCAUAAUGGGUUAAAAUUGUAGUUUCAGUGGUUGGAUUUGAUGCCUUGUUCAAUUGUUUUGUGACUGGUAAUUUGCUGUUUCGAUGUUUGUGUGGUUGCAGCCUUGCAGAUUGCAUAUUAGACCCGUGAUUAUCUACAAAAGGCUUGACAAACAAAAACAACCAUGAGGUGAAGAAUUGUUCAAGAUUUCGAAUUAUUCUAACGGUCCGAUCGUUGUGUUGAACGUGAUGCCACUUCAUGAUUCAUUGGCAUCGGAUUCGCCUUUGGAUUUCCCGAAGAGUCAAGAGUCACCAAUCCAAAAGGAGCUGAGGCCUAUUGGCCGAAAGGUAGCUAAGGCGAAGAGAAGGAGUAAUUCUAGCAAUAUUACAUCAAAAAUUUUGGAGGAAAUUGUGAGGCAUGGCGCCAUGAGAAUUGAAAUAGAUAUACGCGCCCAAGCAAACGAGAUGGCAAUUCAAGAAGAAUAUGCAAAAGAAAGGGAGUAUGUACGCAAAGAAAACAUUGACAAGAAGGAUCGGGAAACUAUGGCCAUGAAUACAAGCCAUAUGUCCCCUGAAACAAAACAAUUUUGGAAGUUAGAACGAAGGGAUGUUAUGAGAAGAAGACUUUUCCGUGACGAUGGACCUAGCAACACGGAUUGGUUAAAUGAUCAAAACCAUUAAGUUAGUUUGCUUGCCUUUUAUUUCAUUGUAUUUCAUUGUAAUUCAUGUAUUUUAUUUAAUUAGUAGUAAUUCUUAAUUAUUUGUAUUGGUUUUCUUUGAGUGAAUAAAGAAAGCAUUCUAUAAAAUA